GUGAGGAAUUUUCCGCAAUGGGCGAAAGCCUGACGGAGCAAUGCCGCGUGAAGGAUGAAGGCCUAUGGGUUGUAAACUUCUUUUCUCAGAAAAGAAUUAUGACGGUAUCUGAGGAAUAAGCAUCGGCUAACUCUGUGCCAGCAGCCGCGGUAAGACAGAGGAUGCAAGCGUUAUCCGGAAUGAUUGGGCGUAAAGCGUCUGUAGGUUGUUUAAAAAGUAUUCUGUCAAAGAUUAGGGCUUAACCCUAGAUAGGCAGAAUAAACUUUUAAGCUAGAGUUUGGUAGAGGCAGAGGGAAUUCCCGGUGGAGCGGUGAAAUGCGUAGAUAUCGGGAGGAACACCAAAGGCGAAGGCACUCUGCUGGGCCAAUACUAACACUGAGAGACGAAAGCGAGGGGAGCAAAUGGGAUUAGAUACCAGUGUAGUCC
rnacentral:rRNA from 1 species